UACGUAGGGUGCGAGCGUUGUCCGGAAUUAUUGGGCGUAAAGAGCUUGUAGGCGGUCUGUCGCGUCUGCUGUGAAAAUCCGGGGCUCAACCCCGGACUUGCAGUGGGUACGGGCAGACUAGAGUGUGGUAGGGGAGACUGGAAUUCCUGGUGUAGCGGUGAAAUGCGCAGAUAUCAGGAGGAACACCGGAUGGCGAAGGCAGGUCUCUGGGCCGAUACUGA
rnacentral:rRNA from 1 species